rnacentral:lncRNA from 1 species
GUGAGUGGCACAGAGGCUGUGGUGAGUGAAUCUGAGGGUUUGUAUCAUCUCUUAGGCCUGAACACCAAUGCCUUCACCUCAACACGUGAAGGGCGUGCUCACCGAGCAGCGGAGGAGAAAGGGCAAAGGGGAGGGUGAAGUCCAAGUUAUUGCACAAAAGGCUGUGACCACUCCCAGGCUGAUCAUCCCUGGGGCUGGGAGGAAAGUUAUUUGCAGAGGAGAACAAGAUCAGGACUCUUCCUAACAAAGGCUGAGUAAGAAACUGGGUUUCUGACCUCUCUACCCCAGCAAGCUCAGAGUCCCCUGCCUUUCCUCUGUUCUGGCUCUGUGUGUUUGCAUUACUCACUCUGUGGUUAGAAGUUCAGACGGAAUCUGGCCCAGACUGGCAUGCAUUGGCGUGAUCUUGGCUCACUGCAACCUCCGCCUCCCGGGUUCAGGUGAUUCUGCCUCAGCCUCCUGAGUAGCUGGGAUUAAAGCUGUGCACCACCAUGAACAGCUAAUUAACACGCCGAUUUUUAGGCUGAGCAAUGAUAGAGCUUUUCACUUCUCCUCUUUUUCAGAGGCCCACAGACAGAAGGGAUUAGCCUUAUCUCAGAUGAGAUUUUGGACUUGGACUUUUGAAUUAAUCCUUCAAUGACCAUAGUUUAAGAAGAGAUAUCUUGAAAACACGGAAAGAGAAAAGUCAAUACAAUAUUUCCUAAUUUUUUAAGAGGUCAGAGAAGGGAGUUACUGUGUGGCCUGGAGCAGGUGAUUCUGACUACCAAGGGAAAAUUGGAGUACUACUCCACAAUGGAGGGUCUGCAGGAUGGACCCGGCAGCUGGUGCCCUGUGUGAGGAACGCUGCAACGGACUGCGACAGAACCCUCGAAAACGAAGGUGAAGAGACUGUGCAGUCAUGUGACAGACACAUCAAACCAUACCAUGGCGUGGCUAAGACCCAAGCUGGUAUCAAAAAUAAAGGAAACGACGCUGCAGGACCCGCAGCCCCAGACGAUGUGGCUUCCUCCGAUGACACAGGCCCCAGACAUUACCUGGGGGAAGCUGAAGAAGACAACUCAGGAGGCCGAGUGAAUCCUUCUCUGGACACAGACACCAUCACUCCAGAUAAUCUGUUCCUUGCUAUGCUCUCUAUUGUACCUUGCAACUCUCAUAGGGUAUUCACCUUUCUUAUUCUCUCACUUUGCCUGCAACUCAUACCUGCUACAUUCUAUUGGGCCCAUCUUCUAAGAUCUGCCUUUCUUCCAACCUGUUACCUUGGCAGACACCCCCUUCCCAUCCUCUAAUAAUGUAACUGCUUAGCUGGGAGGGGUUGACAUGCCCCCAGUGGGGUUCCUUAAUAAUGGCACACAUUGAACUGAGGUGCCAAGUAACACUACAUAUCUCUCCUUGAUUGGAAAAGAAUAAUAGUGACUAUACUAAUGUUUGACUUAUGUUAUUUACUAAUUCUAGGAUGCAAAGCCGGAACACGAGCUGUAACCGCUGCGCCUGUCAAAUCUGUCACUGCACACAUCUGUACUAUUCAAUCAACAAAACCCGAUGCUAAAAACAGAAAAGGGGGAGACGCGGGAGAUCGGUCAGAGUGGUAGGAGAAGGUAUAGGGAAAGGAACAGACCUUCUGAAAGGCGGGAAGGCUCUGGAUAGCUUCAGGGAUGAAUAAGCUGAAGGCAGCUGUUCUCUUACCCUGAGGCAGAGGGCAAGGGGUAGGUAAGGAAGUAUAGGGGAAUUUGGCAUAAACAGGCUUGUUUACUUACAUUGUCCGGAAACCGACUUUGAUCAUCAGGGCAGGAGACUGCUCCCUGAAAGGGGGAAUAAUAAUGUUAAUUACCCACAGAUUGUGUUGGCUCCAGGCUUUCAUUAUUUUGUCUGUACUGAAUAAAAGCAAGCAGCUCCAGCUGUUCGAGACUGCUCACUCUUCAGCCAUUAGUGCUGGGCAUUCCUGUAGCUGCUCUUACACUGCAUGCCUGUGGCUGAGUACUCCUUUCAUCCGUUGCUUGGCCAGGGUCUGUGGGAUGGACCCCGCAGGUAAGGGUUAUCAAAAAAAAAAAAAAUUCACAGGCAGAUAGGAACACCAUGACCAUACUAAAAGGCUUUUUUCCCAUUUUAGUCUUGCAAGUUUGUAAAGAAGGAUAUGAAGCCCCUAAGAAAUCAGUGAAACACUUU